rnacentral:pre_miRNA from 1 species
AUUCGUUGGAUGAAUGUGAGGCAUUGGAUUGAUUUCGUUCAAUCCGAGCCCCACAGUCAUCCGGGGUUCGU